UCUAAAACUCCAUAUAUGAAUUGAACAUCGAACAAGGUUUGGACUACAAGAUAUAUUCAAAUUUCUUUUUUAUUGCUAAUAUUUAAACUUAAAACAACAGUAUUGAGUCUUAGGCUCUUCAUAAAUGUUUUAGGUCUACAUCUUAUAUUUCCAUC
rfam:Populus trichocarpa scaffold_15_contig_155, whole genome shotgun sequence.